UUUAGGGGAGCCGUAGGGAAACCGAGUCUUAAUAGGGCGUUUCGUUGCAGGCAUUAGACCCGAAACCCGGCGAUCUACCCAUGGGCAGGUUGAAGGUUGAGUAACAUCAACUGGAGGACCGAACCCACUAACGUUGAAAAGUUAGGGGAUGACCUGUGGGUCGGAGUGAAAGGCUAAUCAAGCCGGGAGAUAGCUGGUUCUCCCCGAAAACUAUUUAGGUAGUGCGUCAUAUAUUACCCACGGGGGUAGAGCACUGUUAAGGCUAGGGGGUCAU
rnacentral:rRNA from 1 species